rnacentral:ribozyme from 1 species
AAAGAAACGAAAAAGAAACGAAAAAGAAAAAAAGAAAAAAUAGGUAAGUAUAUAUGCAUAUUUACGUUUUCUUCUUCUUUACCAUCCUUUCUUCACUCUUAUU